rnacentral:rRNA from 1 species
CCUACGGGAGGCAGCAGUAAGGAAUAUUGGUCAAUGGGCGCAAGCCUGAACCAGCCAUGCCGCGUGCAGGAAGACGGCCCUAUGGGUUGUAAACUGCUUUUGAACAAGAGAAAACCUCGGUACGUGUACCGAGCUGAUAGUAUUGUUAGAAUAAGCAUCGGCUAACUUCGUGCCAGCAGCCGCGGUAAGACGAAGGAUGCAAGCGUUAUCCGGAUUCAUUGGGUUUAAAGGGUGCGUAGGCGGCCUGAUAAGUCAGUGGUGAAAUCUCUCAGCUUAACUGAGAAACUGCCAUUGAUACUGUCGGGCUUGAGUACAGAUGAUGUGGGCGGAAUAUGACAUGUAGUGGUGAAAUACUUAGAUAUGUCAUAGAACACCGAUUGCGAAGGCAGCUCACAAAACUGUAACUGACGCUGAGGCACGAAAGUGCGGGGAUCAAACAGGAUUAGAUACCCUGGUAGUCCGCACCGUAAACGAUGAUUACUCGUUGUUGGCAAUAUGACCGUCAGCGACCAAGCGAAAGCGAUAAGAAUCCACCCUGGGGAGUACGCCGGCAACGGUUGAAACCUUAAAGGAAUUGACCGGNGNGAGAGNGCGAGGCGACACGAGGGAGAGG